UCCAGACAACUGGAGUUGUGGAUGCAGUUCCUCAAGAUUGAAAGCAAGGUGGCCUGUAUGGGAUGCUACUAAAAUUCUCAAGGUUGGCCAUGCAAUUGAUCUUAAAUAA